GCCAGGGUGGCGGAAUUGGCAGACGCGCGUGACUCAAAAUCACGUCUCCGCAAGGAGGUGCGGGUUCGAGUCCCGCCCCUGGCA
rnacentral:tRNA from 1 species